rnacentral:tRNA from 15 species
GGAGAGAUUGCUGAGAGGUUUAAGGCACAUGUUUGGAAAACAUGUAUAUAUUAAAAAUAUUCAAGGGUUCGAAUCCCUUUCUCUCCGCUA